GGCGAUUGAUUAGCGCGCGAUUCGCCUUAGAGUUGAUCAUGCUCAGAUGAACGCUGCCGCACGCAUACACAUCAAGUCGAGCGGCAGCGAGACUAGUAGCAAUACUAGUUGUCGGCGAGCGGCGGACGGGUGAGUAACACGUAGGAACCUGCCCUUCAGAGGGGGAUAACUAAGGGAAACUUUAGCUAAUACCGCGUAAUCUCUGAGGAGUAAAGUUGCCCAGCAAUGGGUGACGCUGAAGGAGGGGCAUGCGUCCGAUUAGCUAGUUGGUGAGGUAACUGCUUACCAAGGCGAUGAUCGGUAAUUGGUCUGAGAGGACGACCAGUCACACUGGGACUGAGACACGGCCCAGACUCUACGGGAGGCAGCAGUGGGGAAUCUUGGACAAUGGGGGCAACCCUGAUCCAGCGAUGCCCCGUGGGGAAGAAGGCCUUCGGGUUUAAAGCCCUUUUAGUUGGGACGAAAGGUGCCGGUUGAAUACGCCGGUACUGUGACGGUACUAACAGAAUAAGCACCGGCAAACUCUGUGCCAGCAGCCGCGGUAAUACAGAGGGUGCAAGCGUUAAUUGGAGUUACUGGGCGUAAAGGGCGCGUAGGCGGUGAGAUGAGUGUGAUGUGAAAGCCCUGGGCUUAACCUAGGAAGUGCAUCGCAAACGAUCUGACUGGAGUGCAAGAGAGGGUGGCGGAAUUUCCGGUGUAGCGGUGAAAUGCGUAGAUAUCGGAAGGAACGUCAAUGGCGAAGGCAGCCACCUGGCUUGUAACUGACGCUGAGGCGCGAAAGCGUGGGGAGCGAACAGGAUUAGAUACCCUGGUAGUCCACGCUGUAAACGAUGAGGACUAGAUGUUGGGAGGGGAACCUUUCAGUAUCGAAGCUAACGCGAUAAGUCU
rnacentral:rRNA from 1 species